UUAUAUUAUGUAGAUCAAAUCAUUGAUCUAGGGGUGGUAUUCAAAUAUUCAUAGCGAUACAACCAUAUGUCGCAUGCAACAUCCACCAAGCUAAAUAUAGUUUAUUUGAUCGAUACUAUCUUCAUAUAUAAUUUUGUUAGCCCGUGGCAACGCACGGGCAUUCUACUAGUAAGAGAUAAAUCAGGGCUUUAAUUGAAAGGAGGACCAAUUCAGUUUCUCCUUCUCCUCCAAUCUUCUUGCACCCAGGUCGUGUUGCACCUUCAAAUGUGACUUAUGCACUGGGACAGAGGGAGUAGCAAUUGUUAGGCUCACAUUUAUAUCCCGCACUUUCAUAAAAUUGCUAAUAAGUAAUUAAUUUUUUAGUUAUACCUAUUCACCACCUCUAGGUCCAUCUCAAUCUUUUGAAUUGGUAUCAGAGCCUCGUGCACUAUCUUGUGG
rnacentral:lncRNA from 1 species